UACGGAGGGUGCGAGCGUUGUCCGGAAUCACUGGGCGUAAAGGGCGCGUAGGUGGCGUCGCAAGUCAACGGUGAAAGCUCGACGCUCAACGUCGAGUCGGCCGUCGAGACUGCGAGGCUUGAGCACUGUAGAGGCAGAUGGAAUUCCGGGUGUAGCGGUGGAAUGCGUAGAGAUCCGGAAGAACACCGGUGGCGAAGGCGGUCUGCUGGGCAGUUGCUGACACUGAGGCGCGGACACGUGGGGGAGCAAACAGGG
rnacentral:rRNA from 1 species